rnacentral:lncRNA from 10 species
CGGCGAAGAGGCCCCCGCGGCCGGCCGAGCUCCGUGGACUCCGCAGGAGCGGCCCCGCCCCUCACACUACGCCGGGCGGUUCCCUCCGAGCCCCGCCGGGACAGCGUCGACGCUGCACACACCCCAGAGAAGCCAGAGGACGGCGCCUGCACCGGACACAGCGCAACACCGGCACAGCACAGCGUCCACACCACAAGUGAGCCUAGGCAGCUGUGUCUACACUGCAGACGCCGGCCUGAGCGCACGCGUCUUCAUGCAGGCUCAGCAGAGGGGGAAGAACACCUCCCCGAGGGUGGAAGAGCUGUGGCCAGCAGACAGAUGGACGGACAGACGGACACAGGCGAACAGGCAGCGCAGGGGUGAGCCGAGCCGGUCAAAUGGGCCAGGACCCGGCUCCGUGUGCCCUUCACAGUCAGGAUGACAGAACCCCGUGGAAUAUGAAAAAUGCCGGGAGACAGACCCCGGAGGCACAGCCCCUCACCGGGCAGGGAGGCCGCCAGAGGGAAGCGCAGCUCCAGACCACCAGAGCCCCAUCUGAUUAAGGCAUCGAGAUCAAAGCUCAGCAGAGGGCGGCUCAUGAUGGGCAGCUCAAAAAAAUAAACCCACCAAUCAGAGUCCGUGUUCCUGUGACCGGUGGCGGGUUCGGAUGCAGAGGAGGCUUCUCAGUGCGGUUCCUCCUCAUCUCGGAACCUGCCACCCCACUCAAGCCCGACAUAGGCCAGGACAGCCAGGACGGCCGCAGCGAGGGCAACACGAGGCCCGUCGACAUCCUGAGGCCCCCGGGCCUGUCGCCGAGUCCCGGCUUGGGGAGUGUCCCCGGGCCACACUGGUCCUGCUCCCGGCUGUGUGGUCUCCCAGGCGCGUGGCUCCUCCCUCCGGGGCCCAGGCUCUGGUGUGAGCCACUUUUUCCAUAGGAGACGCCCAUACUUGCAGCUCACGCCUUUGUCUGGUGCCCUGGCCUCACACCUAUAGGAAUUGGGUACCUGGGGGCCUCUUCAUCUUUACUUGUCUCAGCUUAGAGAAGCCCAGCUACACUUCCUCCAUGCCUGGAUUCAUGCACGGCCCCACAGGGUGAGGCCUGGACACCCUCACGGGCACUGGGGCUCCACGGAUGCAGAAGGCAGCCUGGCCCGGUAGCUCGGGGGUCUGAGAUGGAGGUGGAGUAAGACAGAGUGACAAAGGCUGCGUCCUGGAGGCAGGCUCGGAGCCUCCCUGAGCUCAGAGAGCCCGCGUGCGCCAGGAAGCCACACCUGCAGGACCCGAGUCGGAACUCAGAGGCUGGUACAGCCGCGGUGCUUGUCCUGUAGAUAAGAAUGGCCUCCUCUGGCGGCCAAAGUUAAUUAAACUGACAAUCUUGAUAAGUUGCACAGUUACCUGCUCGGGGACAAAGAAGAUGGGAGCCUUGUUUGUGGUUUCUUCUUGUUCUUUCCUGUGCCCCACAGUCAUUUUAAAAUUAAAUUAAAUGGCUUAUCUGCAC